AUACGGAGGGAGCAAGCGUUAUUCGGAAUCACUGUGCGUAAAGGACGCGUAGGCGGGUUUGUAAGUCAGGUGUGAAAUCCUACAGCUCAACUGUAGAACUGCACUUGAAACUACAGACCUAGAGUAUGGAAGGGGCAGAUGGAAUUAGUGGUGUAGAGGUAAAAUACGUAGAUAUCACUAGGAAUACCGAAAGCGAAGGCGAUCUGCUGGGACAUUACUGACGCUGAGGCGUGAAAGCGUGGGGAGCAAACAGGAUUAGAAACCCCGGUAGUCC
rnacentral:rRNA from 1 species